rnacentral:lncRNA from 1 species
AAAUGUAGACUGCUAGGCUUUCAGAUGCUGCUGCUUUAUAUGUGUCAGAUAUCCAUAGCAGAGUUAAAAUACAUUUUUCUCUUUAAUAGAAGCUGUAUGAAACAGUGGUUAAGAGCAUAGAUGCUGAAGCCAGAUAAUCUAGACUCAAAUCCCAUUUUCUUUUCUUACUAGCUCUAUGCCUUUGGGCAAAUCAUUAAAACUUUCUAUGCCUCUGUUUUUUUUUAAAUGUAAAAUAGGAUUGAGAAUAUUAGUACAUAUCUCAUAGGGCUAUUGUAAAGAUUAAAUGAAUUAAUAUCUCAAAGGCAUUUGAACCAAGCCAACCUACUAGCACAGUAUAAUUCUUUGCUGAUGCCACUACUGCUACUACUACCACCUAUUACUUCUAUUAAAUAAUAGUAAUGAAGUAGUGGUUAUAUUUUUGUCUGUGUUCUUUAUUUCAAAUAAGGAAUGACUAUGGAAAUUUUUCUGCUAGAGGGAAAAUACCUGUGCCUAUGCGGACAGUUUGGCAUUCUGCAAAUAUAUUACUUUUCAUUUACAUUCUAUUAAAAUAUACUUACAAUGUAAUAGGUAGUUUCCUAUCCUUUGCUAACCUUUUGGGCAUGGCUUUGGAUCUAUGUCCAUGAAAACUUUCUAUGCACACAGAAAAGUAUUUCUUAUUCUGUCUGACACAAUUACGACAGUAUUCAAUAUGAAUGUCUUAUGUAAGGCUUAUAGAAACAUAGACUUACUACAUAAUGUCCAUCUCUUCUCUCUCUUUUAAAAUAUUAGCUAAAUAUAUGGAAUAAAAUCUUAGCCUUUUUUUUUUUUUUUUUUUUUUUUUUGCUUUUUAGGGCCACAGGUGUGGAUAUGGAAGUUCCCAGGCUAGAGGUUGAAACAGAGCUGCAGCGAUCAGCCUGUGUCACAGCCAGAGCAAGGCCAGAUCUGAGCCGUGUCUGCAACAUACACCACAGCAAUGCUGGAUCCCCAACCCACUGAACGAGGCCAGGGACUGACUCUGCAUCCUCAGGGGUACUAGUUGGAUUCGUUUCCACGGUGCCACAAUAGGAACUCCAAUCUUACUCUUUGAUAUGAAAUUUUCAGUAUCUAAGUGUGGUCAUACCUGAGACUAAGAGUUUGUGCUUUAGAUUUAAAUGUUAGUUUUUAUUCCAUACAUUUGUUAUAAAGAAAAAAGAGAUGGGUACUAUAUACAUCUUUAAUUUGCAAUAUGAGUCAAACAUUGAACAAAAAACUUUUCAUAGGAGCAAUUUCACUUAUUAAUUCAAUAACAUGGGCUGUAAUGAAAUAUUCUGGGCAAGGGGAAGAAAUUUUCUAAAAUUCUCCAUUUCUUGGUCCUCUCCCUUCAUUCUAGCUUUUUUUAAAAUGCAAGUUAUUGAAGCAAUACCACACAGAUGAGAUUAUAAUAUAAAAUAGCACUGCAAUAAUUUAUUGAUGUUCAAAAUUUAUCUAAGACUGCAUACUUCAGGGGAUUGUGAACUGGAUAGUUCUCAGAGUUGGUGGCAUGCUGAAAUUUUUUAUUUGAAUGGCAAAAAUAUGUGAUAGCAUAAGUCACCCAACAGGGAAUGCUUUUAAUUCCUAUUUGAAGGUACUCCUUAUCUUAUAGCAUGGUAAAAGUGAUACACCUGGAAACCUGAGCUACCAAACACUCUAUAUCUUAUUUAAACUAUUGUUAUGUUAGCACCACAUGCAAAUAGGCAAUAAAAGUAUCUGCCUGGCUGGCUGGUUCUUAAACUGCUAUGGUCCUGAUUCAUCUUCAAAAUUAAUUAUUGCUUUGAAUAAAUCAUUUUGAUACCUCUACCCUUCUUUUCUUGGGAUGUAAUAUUAAACUAUGGAUUCAAGCUCAUUAUGAUUUUAUUUAUAUCCUUUCUAAUAGGGCUUAAGUUGGAGGCUUUUACUUUUAAAUGAUUUCGAUUUAUCUUUCCAAUUUCUCAAUAGCUUUUCUAUUAAUUUGCAAUUUGUUUUUUGAGAACAUAAAAUAUUAAAACACGAUUAAAAAAAAGUUAUUGCUUACCAACAAGUACUAAUGUAAUAUUUAUGACACUUUUUAAUAGAAAUCAAUGACUUGAUAUCUGAAAGUCACAAAAAUCAGUCUUUAAUUGUUGAAAUGACGUUUAUUCUACCUUAAAGACCUGACCCCAAGUAUUCCAUGAAUAUUCUGAUGCUCUACAUUUUAACAUGAGUGUUUUUAGCAUCUCCACAACUAUGUUAUUGUACGUACUAAAGUUUCCCAUACCAUAUGAAAAUAUUUAAGCCAUCAGAUAAAACUACAACUUGAAACAGAAGAUUGAGUUCCUUUCUGCAGGUUCUUUUAUGCUGCCACAGUAAGAAUGUUUUAUUCUGUCACUAAAAUCUCAAACUACUUCUGUGAACUAAGUUUAGUACCUUUUUGUUAAUAUGCCAAGUAAUACUGUUUUCUUUGUAACAUAACAAUUUUGUUUUAUUUCAGAACAUUUUUAGUAAAGUUAUGUGCCAUAAAAAAGGUAUACAGUCGUUCAGAAUAACUACACUGAUAGCAAAGGUAUUUCAGUCAUUCAGAGGGAAAUAAAAUUAACACUACUAAUAAAAGUUGGCAUCUCUGGUACAUUUGUCAACAGAGACAUGUAAAUUCAUGCCCCAUAUCUUUCUGAAACUUGUCAUCAUCAACACAUAUCAAUCAUGGAUAUUAUUAAAGAAAAUUGUGGACUUUACAAUCCAAGAUUUUGAGGACAAUUUGAAUUUGAAAGAGGAAACUCAUUAGAUGUUGGGAGAAGAAACCAUGAAGACAUGAUUUAAAGGAUAAAGGAGAUAAGGGAAUAAACACAGUACACACAUGACCACUGGCAAUGAUUCAAAGAAAGUACUGUCAGAUGGUUAGUUGGUUGGUUGGUUUUAAUGACUAUCAUCUUUUGAGUAUAUUUAUAAAGUUAACUAGAUAGAAAUUAAUAGAUAAAAACUGGACUCAUAAAAGAGAGCCAGCUUAAUCUUAUGGCCCAUGAGAAAGCAAAUGUUAGUGAAGUCAAGAGUAAAUGAAAGAGAUAUAAUAAUUGGCAUUGCACAAAAUUUCCCUUUUUUCUGAAAAAAAUGGGGUCAUAUUAAAAUAAAAAUAAACUUUAAGAGAAUAAGAAGGAAAACUGAAGGAAUUUGUAUCUUAAUGACCUCUAUCUUUCCACUGAAGUAGAAGGCAAAUUAAUUUACUAACUGGGAUCUAAUGGUGGAUGAUGGCAUAGAUGGAAACUUUGGAAGUUCAGAAAUAUCUGUACAUUUGAUUUGAGAUUUGAAACAUCGAAUCUCUUUAUACAGUCAAGCAGUAUGUCCUUUCAAAUUGUCUUCAGUCUGGGCUUCUAAUAUUCACUCUAUGGACAUGGAUUUGACUGUUCAGACUGAAUUGGCUUACAUCGAUAUAGUCAUACCUUUGUCUCCAAAUCUUAUAUUUCUUUAAUGUUGCCUUCCCCCCUAAAUCUCAAGCAUCUUUCUAAUUUACACAUAGAUUUUAUAUUAAAUACUCAGUUUAUUUAUGAGAAUAAUAGCCUGUAAUUCUGGAAUUGCACUGUCCAGUACAAUAACUACUUUCUACAUGUGUCUAUUUAAAUUUAAAGUUAAAGAAAUUUAAACAUUAUUUCCUUAUGUUCACUAGCCACAUUGUAAAUGCUCAGUCGCCCGAUGUGGCUAGUUACUGACAUUUUUAAUAGUGUAGAUGUGUUUCCACAACUGCAGAAAGUUCUCUUGGAUAAUGGUGGUCUAGAAUCAUGCCAUUCUUACUUGGGUAAUUUUUACCUAAGUGAGAUAAAAAAGGAUCUCUUAAAAAUAUAUUAUUGGUUUUUCUAAAUUGAGUGUAUCCCUGACAAAGUGGUUUCCCAUCCCCAUUCUAUUUCCAAGUUCAUGGGUGAAAGAAGUAUAUGCCCAAAAAUAAUUAGAAAGUUCAGCCCCAGGAGUUUUAAUGUUUACAAAACUGUAUCUUUGACUUGUACUGGCAAUUAAAUCCCAAUCCUAACUUAGCAUUGGAAGGAAUUUAAGUAAUUCAUCAUCAGCCUUCCGUUUUGACCCAUUCCUGAUCUUAUUCCCCUGCUAGAAAAAAAUGAGCUUCUAAAUUUUUCUCAAUACUUCAACCAUACUUUUACACUCCAUACUGGUGAACAAACAUAGGAAGUUUGGGUUUUCUAUUUUCUUACCUAGUAAUUGUCAAGAUGUUACAGCAAAAGAUCAGUCCUUUACUAAAGACUUGAAUUUGUUCCCAGUUUGCUCACAAACACAAAAGUUAUUUGGUUCUUCUGAUAUUCCAUUUCCAUAUUUAUUGAAUUCAGUUAAAAAUUUUCAUCUUUCAGUCUAAAAUGAUAAAACACAUUUAAAGUAAAACUACAAAAUAAUCAGGAGCAUUAUGAUAAUUCUAAAUAUAUGUGGUGCUGCCUAUGUGUAUACUUUUAACAAAGAGGUUUCUACAAAUGUGUUAACAUUUGUUCUCACAACAACCCCUCAGGCUAGGUACUCACUCAACACCUUUCAGUUGUUUUAUUAAUAUGUCUCAGUUAUUGAGAGGACUGUAUUAGUGUAUGUUAAGAUAGAUACUUAAAUGAGAAGACCCAAAACUCAAUUAAUACAUACAAAGUUAUGGCCACACAGUAAGGAGAUAUUAGAUUCAUACUAUUCUUUCAUAAUAAAGGGCUGAUUAUUGAGAAAUGAUUGCCUGGCCAGAGACUACAUUUCCCAGCAUCCUUUGUAUCUAGCUGAAUCCAUAUGAGAUAUUUCUCACUAAGGGCAAGUGAGUGGAAGUGAUCUGUGCCUCUUCUAGGCCAAAAUGUUUAAGUAAUCAAGGUACCUUCUCCAUUUUUAUUUUUUUUUCCCGGUUGUAAGCAAUCUCCAAGGCCCUACCCUAUGGUAUAGCAACCAUGUGGAAGAAAUCUGGCCUUAUCCAUCAACAAGUUGAAAGUCAUCCUUGUACAUUCAUAUUUAAUUACUGUAUUAGAAAAAAACAUUUAUGUAUUAAUUGAGUUUUUCCAGAUGUCUAUGGGCUAGAGAACGAAAGGGCAGCUCAUGAGAUUAGAAAUGCCUAUAAUUUUCCUCAUCAGUGAAAAAGCAUGUGAGCUAUUUCCCCAUAAUUAGGGGAGUCCCGCAGGAACUUAUCAAAGAGCCUGUAUCACACAUCCAUUGUCACCAUAAUACUGCAUAACAAACAACCAAAAAACCUCUUCCACAUACAAUAGUAACUUUGGGGUUCAUGCAUCUAGGGUUUGUCAUAUAGAUGCCUCUACUGAUCUUGGCUUGGCUCAUACAUAUGCUUAAGGAUUGGUUGACACUCACCUUUAUCUAGGAUGCUUUUAACUGGACAACUGAGAAGACACAUUCCUCUUAUCGUCUAGAUAGCCAGCACAAGCAUGUUCUGAUGGCAAUGGCAGAGGCAUAAAAGUGAGGGCAAGCCCAUUUAUACAACAUUUUCAAGCCUCUAUUUUUAUCACGAUUGUUCACCUUCCAUCGGCCCAAACAAGUUGUGUGACCACCCCCAGAGUCAGAAUAAAGGAGUAUUUUCAAGUUUUGGGAAAAAGGUGAUGAGUAAAGAGGGAUGAAGAUUUGGGGGUAUUUUUAAAAAUUAAUCCAUCACAGUAACCAUGAAGAAAAGAAUGUCAGAUUUAAUUAUCUACCAGAUCCAAAGAGUGCUUGAGUUAGAUAACUGUGCCAUUACCAAGCAGCCAAGAACUCUCCUGCUCAAUCUUCUUAUUGUCUUUCCCCAGUAUUCAGCUAUGUUAUCAUCAUGAAUGGUGAGGUAGGGGAAGAAUAUUAAAAAGUCUAGGUGAUAAUCAAGUCCACUUCCACCUGAAGUUGAACUAAGCUCAGGUGGUGGGAAGCUGUAUUUUAGAGGUAAGUGAGACACUUCAAAAAUCAUUUUGUGAGACUUAAUUAUAGAUUUGAGACUGUGCUUUGAAACUAAAAGCAACAGUUGAACUUUGUUUAUCACCUUAGUGUGACUAGAGAAACCACGGGGCUUUCCUUGAACUUUUAUUCUGAGCUUGAUUUAUAGAAAUAAAAGUAAAAAUGAGAGACAGUGGGGGACAAAACUAAAGUUUUAAUUAGAAAUCAAGAGCCAGGAGUUCCUGUCGUGGUGCAGUGGUUAACGAAUCCGACUAGGAACCGUGAGGUUGCGGGUUCGGUCCCUGCCCUUGUUUAGUGGGUUAAGGAUCCGGCGUUGCCGUGAGCUGUGGUGUAGGUUGCAGAUGCAGCUCGGAUCCAGCAUUGCUGUGGCUCUGGCGCAGGCCAGUGGCUACAGCUCCGAUUCGACCCCUGGCCCGGGAACCUCCAUAUGCUGUGGGAGCGGCCCAAGAAAUAGCAAAAAG